rnacentral:rRNA from 1 species
CCUACGGGUGGCAGCAGUGGGGAAUAUUGGGCAAUGGGCGCAAGCCUGACCCAGCAACGCCGCGUGAAGGAAGAAGGCUUUCGGGUUGUAAACUUCUUUUCUCAGGGACGAAGCAAGUGACGGUACCUGAGGAAUAAGCCACGGCUACCGACGUGACAGCAGCCGCGGUAAUACGUAGGUGGCAAGCGUUAACCGGAUUUACUGGGAGUAAAGGGCGUGUAGGCGGGACUGUAAGUCAGAGGUGAAAACCAUGGGCCCAACCUAUGGCCUGCAUUUGAAACUGUAGUUCUUGAGUACUGGAGAGGCAGACGGAAUUCCUAGUGUAGCGGUGAAAUGCGUAGAUAUUAGGAGGAACACCAGUGGCGAAGGCGGUCUGCUGGACAGCAACUGACGCUGAGGCGCGAAAGCGUGGGGAGCAAACAGGAUUAGAUACCCUUGUAGUC